rnacentral:rRNA from 1 species
UACGAAGGGGGCUAGCGUUGCUCGGAAUUACUGGGCGUAAAGGGCGCGUAGGCGGACAGUUUAGUCAGAGGUGAAAGCCCAGGGCUCAACCUUGGAACUGCCUUUGAUACUGACUGUCUUGAGUUCGGGAGAGGUGAGUGGAAUGCCGAGUGUAGAGGUGAAAUUCGUAGAUAUUCGGCGGAACACCAGUGGCGAAGGCGGCCUUCUGGGCCUGUUCUGACGCUGAGGAGCGAAAGCGUGGGGAGCAAACAGG